UGGCAAAAGCCCACCCUCCUCGGUGUCUGUCAGUUUUGAUUCUGCACUAGAUCUCUGUGCAUAGCCUUCAAAGGGAAUACUGAGGGCAGAUAGGUGAUGGUUCAGAUCCUUUGCAACCCUGCAGCCCUGCCAAUAUGUGGACCUAACUGACCUGAUGGGGCAAAAAUAAUCAUCCUGUGUUGCCAAACCCAGACCCAACACCACAAAUAUGUUAUGUGGCCUCUUCAAUAAUAAUGGGUUUACAGGGCUCUGUGAGCUUUCAAGAUGUGGCUGUAACCUUCACUGUGGAGGAAUGGGCUUUACUAGAUCCUUCCCAAAAGAAGCUGCACAAAGAUGUAAUGGAGGAGACCUUCAGGAACCUGGCUGCUAUAGGAAAAACACAAGAAGGCCAGAACAUAGAUGAGGACCAUAGAUAUUCUAGAAGAAAUCAAAGGCCUGAAGGAGACUUAGUGGACCACCUCCAGACUUGAAGCAUGUCACAACUCUACUCCCUGAUGAGAGAGCAGCGCUGUCUUUACAUUCCUGACUGGCAGGAGAGGAAACUUCCGUGUCCUGUAGGAGGGUGUACUCUCCGGAGCCAAUUGGGGCUGUGUAUUUCAACUUGAAAAAGACUGAUCGCCUGGCUGUGAUGUGUCCAUUCUGAGAACCAUAUAAAUGGAUUUACAGAUAUGUCCACUCUGGCUCACCAUAUCACAUGUGACUACAGAUGUGUUCAGUCAGGCUCACAGUCUCCCUUGGAUUAACGAUGUAUCCACUAUGCUCCCCAAAUAAAUGGGUUUACAAAUGU
rnacentral:lncRNA from 1 species